CUGUCGUGCCAAGAAAAGCCACUAAGUAUAUUAUAUGUUGCCCGUACCGCAAACCGACACAGGUGGGUGGGAUGAGUAUUCUAAGGCGCGUGGAAGAACCCCCUUUAAGGAACUCUGCAAACUAGCACCGUAUCUUCGGUAUAAGGUGUGCCUACUAUUGUAUAUGGACUUGCUCCAAAAAGCGAUAGAGGUUGCAACAAAGAGUCCCUCCCGACUGUUUACCAAAAACACAGCACUUUGCUAACACGUAAGUGGAUGUAUAAGGUGUGACGCCUGCCCGGUGCUCGAAGGUUAACUGAUGAUGUCAGCGUAAGCGAAGCAUUUGAUUGAAGCCCGAGUAAACGGCGGCCGUAACUAUAACGGUCCUAAGGUAGCGAAAUUCCUUGUCGGUUAAAUACCGACCUGCAUGAAUGGCGUAACGAGAUGGGAGCUGUCUCAAAGGGGGAUCCAGUGAAAUUGUAGUGGAGGUGAAAAUUCCUCCUACCCGCGGAAAGACGGAAAGACCCCGUGCACCUUUACUACAGCUUGACACUGUAGCUUGGAUAUUCAUGUGCAGGAUAGGUGGGAGGCUAUGAUGACUAGACGCAAGUAGAGUCGGAGCCACCCUUGAGAUACCACCCUUGAAUAUUUGAGUUACUAACUGCGUACAAUUAUCUUGUAUCAGGACAAUGUCUGGUGGGUAGUUUGACUGGGGCGGUCGCCUCCUAAAAAGUAACGGAGGCUUACAAAGGUUAGUUCAAAGCGGAUGGAAAUCGCUUGUUGAGUAUAAUGGUAUAAACUAGCUUGACUGUGAGACAUACAAGUCGAACAGAGACGAAAGUCGGUCAUAGUGAUCCGGUGGUUCUGUGUGGAAGGGCCAUCGCUCAAAGGAUAAAAGGUACGCCGGGGAUAACAGGCUGAUCUCCCCCAAGAGCUCACAUCGACGGGGAGGUUUGGCACCUCGAUGUCGGCUCAUCGCAUCCUGGGGCUGGAGCAGGUCCCAAGGGUAUGGCUGUUCGCCAUUUAAAGCGGUACGCGAGCUGGGUUCAGAACGUCGUGAGACAGUUCGGUCCCUAUCUUCCGUGGGCGUAGGAAAGUUGAGGAGAUUUGCCCCUAGUACGAGAGGACCGGGGUGAACGUACCACUGGUGUACCAAUUGUUCUGCCAAGAGCAUCGUUGGGUAGCUACGUACGGAUGAGAUAAGCGCUGAAAGCAUCUAAGCACGAAGCCAACUCCAAGAUGAACUUUCCCUGAAGAUCCCAGUAAGACUAACUGGUUGAUAGGCUAGAUGUGUAAGCGUUGUAAGACGUUUAGCUGACUAGUACUAAUAGAUCGUUCGGCUUAUUUAU
rnacentral:rRNA from 1 species